rnacentral:rRNA from 1 species
AUUGAACGCUGGCGGCAUGCCUUACACAUGCAAGUCGAACGGCAUCUCGGUAAAGCUUGCUUUCCUUGCGGCGCGUGGCGAACGGUAGCGUAACACAACGUAACGUACCGGCUAGUGGGGGAUAACCCGUCGAAAUACGGGCUAAUACUGCAUACGCUCUUCGGAGUAAUGCAAUUGUCCUUUCUGUCUUCCGCUUGUCAAACCUCCGCUGUCCGUUUAGCUAGUUGGUGGGGUAAAGGCCUCCCAAGGCGACGAUCGGUAGCGGGUAUGAGAGGAUGAUCAGCCACACUGGGAGUGAGACACGGCACAGACUCAUACGGGAGGCAGCAGUGGGGAAACUUGGACAAUGGGGGCAAAACUGAUCAAGAAAGGCCGCGUGGGUGAAGAAGGAAUUCGGGGUGUAAAGCGCUGUCGGCAGGGAAGAAAACGGCGGGGCGAAUAAACGUAAUGGAUGACGGUACCUGCAGAAGAAGCACCGGCUAAAUACGUG